rnacentral:rRNA from 1 species
GACGAACGCUGGCGGCGUGCCUAAUACAUGCAAGUUGAGCGCUGAAGGUUGGUACUUGUACCGACUGGAUGAGCAGCGAACGGGUGAGUAACGCGUGGGGAAUCUGCCUUUGAGCGGGGGACAACAUUUGGAAACGAAUGCUAAUACCGCAUAAAAACUUUAAACACAAGUUUUAAGUUUGAAAGAUGCAAUUGCAUCACUCAAAGAUGAUCCCGCGUUGUAUUAGCUAGUUGGUGAGGUAAAGGCUCACCAAGGCGAUGAUACAUAACCGACCUGAGAGGGUGAUCGGCCACAUUGGGACUGAGACACGGCCCAAACUCCUACGGGAGGCAGCAGUAGGGAAUCUUCGGCAAUGGACGAAAGUCUGACCGAGCAACGCCGCGUGAGUGAAGAAGGGUUUCGGAUCGUAAAACUCUGUUGGUAGAGAAGAACGUUGGUGAGAGUGGAAAGCUCAUCAAGUGACGGUAACUACCCAGAAAGGGACGGCUAACUACGUG